UGGGGAAUAUUGCACAAUGGGGGAAACCCUGAUGCAGCGACGCCGCGUGGAGGAAGAAGGCCUUCGGGUUGUAAACUCCUGUCGUAAGGGACGAUAAUGACGGUACCUUACAAGAAAGCCACGGCUAACUACGUGCCAGCAGCCGCGGUAAAACGUAGGUGGCAAGCGUUGUCCGGAAUUACUGGGUGUAAAGGGAGCGCAGGCGGGUCUGCAAGUUGGAAGUGAAACUCAUGGGCUCAACCCAUGAACUGCUUUCAAAACUGCGGAUCUUGAGUGGUGUAGAGGUAGGCGGAAUUCCCGGUGUAGCGGUGGAAUGCGUAGAUAUCGGGAGGAACACCAGUGGCGAAGGCGGCCUACUGGGCACUAACUGACGCUGAGGCUCGAAAGCAUGGGUAGCAAACA
rnacentral:rRNA from 1 species